GACCAGACUCCUACGGGAGGCAGCAGUGGGGGAUAUUGCACAAUGGGGGAAACCCUGAUGCAGCGACGCCGCGUGAGUGAAGAAGUAUUUCGGUAUGUAAAGCUCUAUCAGCAGGGAAGAAAAUGACGGUACCUGAUUAAGAAGCCCCGGCUAACUACGUGCCAGCAGCCGCGGUAAUACGUAGGGGGCAAGCGUUAUCCGGAUUUACUGGGUGUAAAGGGAGCGUAGACGGUGAUGCAAGUCAGAAGUGAAAGCCCGGGGCUCAACUCCGGGACUGCUUUUGAAACUGUGUGACUGGAGUGCAGGAGAGGUAAGCGGAAUUCCUGGUGUAGCGGUGAAAUGCGUAGAUAUCAGGAGGAACACCAGUGGCGAAGGCGGCUUACUGGACUGUAACUGACGUUGAGGCUCGAAAGCGUGGGGAGCAAACAGGAUUAGAUACCCGUGUA
rnacentral:rRNA from 1 species